ensembl:miRNA
UGGAAGCUUCUGGAGAUCCUGCUCCGUCGCCCCAGUGUUCAGACUACCUGUUCAGGACAAUGCCGUUGUACAGUAGUCUGCACAUUGGUUAGACUGGGCAAGGG